ensembl:miRNA
CUUUGUAAAAGAAAAAUCCUGCCCGCCUUUUGAUAAGCGUUCUCAUUAUGCUUUCAUUUACUACAGGCUUAAUGAAAAGGCUUAUCAAAAGGGAGGCAGGAUCCACUUUAUAAAAACAA